GCUCAUCCUAUGGCAGAGGUGGAAGAAGGAGCCCGGUGCCACGUGACCAGUGCCCUGGCUUGCAGAAGGAGUGUGAAACAAGUGAGUUAAGGUGGGAACGAGUACUUCUUUCUUUCUCCUCUUCCGCCAUGAAAUAGCAACUUCUAAAAAAGGGGUGCUGCAGAUGGUAAAGUCUUAAAUUACCACGGUGAGCUUUGCCGGAGGGCGUCUCUGGUCCCCUUAGAUGGAGCCCGUCUGCAGCUGAUUCACAGAAGGUCACGUUUGCCUGUCCUGCCCUACUCCUGAGCUUACUCAUGUAGUCAGCGCGGCUGACAGGGAUGAAAGAGCGGAACUGCUUGAACACAUUUGAUAUGGCUCUAGACAGGCAGACUGAUUUGCAAACUCAAAGCACAGGAGAGACUGAGAGCGAUUGCAGCGGAUUACUAAUUAGCUCGGAAACACAGAGGCGAGGCGUGAGGGAGGAACGUGGCUGCAGCUGAGUGGAAAGGUCAAUCUGAAAAGGAACAAACAGCGAGAACAGAGCAAAAGACUGUAGCUGGGAAACAGCCAGAGAUGUGUGGUGUCAGAAUUUGUGUGAUGGUCAAACAACAGCCUUCAAAGGAGUAGCCUAGCAGUACUGUGAGGCAGGUUUGUUAACAGUGUCAGGAGCUGAGCGUGCUGUGAUGCCUGGGGUACUGCUCAAGGCUAGAGGUGGCAGGGAAGAGGAAAUGUGAAACUCGCAAAUAUCUUUCUGUCCUAUUUGGCUGAUAAAGGUACCUGUCUACUUUCUAUCAUUUGCUGCCUUUCAGAAGACUUGCAUGUUACUGUUUCUCAGCCAGCAGCCCAGUCAGCAGGUAUUUCAGAAUAACAGAAAUUAUUUCAGCUAACUGGAGAAAUACAUACUUCUAUGCACCAGGUAACUUCAAAGACAAUUCUGUCAAUAGGGACAGCGUAUUUCCAGCGAGUCUGAGACAUUUAAAAGUAGUAGGGCUGCAGAGUUCAUUCCAACUGGAAGCUCAGGAAGCACAACAUAAGUAGCACGUUGCCAGCUCGUCAGCUGAAGCAUGGUGAUGUGCCUGUGCUUGUGGAAUGGCUGAUAUUUUCAUAGCAGAAAUGACUGACAGAGCAACGCUGUCCACAGCUCCAGGCUGCACUGCUACAGGAUGAGUUUCGAUGGCUUGAACUACUGCUGAAAUCCCUUUCUCUGUUCUAUCAAGAAAGACACUGAUCUGAAUUUAGCUAACAGUUUUUAGGCCACACUUAUACUGCACUCAGAGAGGAUCGAUUGAUUUAUUUAUAGCAGUAGUUCAAAAUUUUUGGAGUUGGAAAUUUCCUUGUCUUUCUCGUAACAAAUCAACAUCAAUACAAAUGCUAAGAGAACAUCAUCAAAAGAAAAGAAAAAAAGAAAAAAGAAAAAACUUGAAGCUAGACUCUUAGAUAGAUUUUACUUUCCAAUUGUAUGUUAUAAAUGUCCAAAACAGGUUGGAGAGAACUCCUCUACGCCUAGGUAAGUAAUAGGUGAAUUACACAGUAGUAGAUAUAUUUAAGGUUUUAAGACUAUCUGCUCUGGAACAUCCCUAACUACAGUGAAAUGCACAGAUAAUUACUUUCACAGUUUAGGGUGAGAAAUAAAAGAAAGGAAAAACUUCCUUCCAGCUAAAAUUGGUAAGGGGCAUAGUCAGAUAAACAAAAUAAGAACUUAACAGCACUCUUGGCCAGGACACCAGGCCUACUGAUUAUGCAGCUGUGAACAUGCAAAGCCAGAGCUUCAGAAAGUGAUUUUUAAAACCACAGACCAAAGGUAACAGGCUCCAAAGUGCUAGCCCCUACACGCUCUAUACAGGACAGUUAUUUAGGGCAAACCCAGGUGCAUAACUGUGAAGGACGCAUACCUUGAACUUUCUUCCAGUACUGUUCUCAUAUCCCCCUCUGUUUUUGCCCUCAGAGAGAUUUAUAUUCCUUCAGCUUAAGUGGCACUUGAGUGUAGAGUGGAGGAGCUGGUAGCUGAUAUGGCCAUGAACAAGACAGGUGGUGACUUUAGAAGGAGGCUCGCUCUCCACUGUCCAUGGGCUUGGGGCAGGAGAAUUAGGCUAAUCUUGUACAACCUCUACUCCUUUCAUUUCUUACACAGAUUCAUUCACCUUUUAUCUUGCAUGAAAUGCAGGGGAUGCUCUUGGAAUACCAGGGCAGCCAUUGAACAGUAUCAAAGAACCAAGAGGCAUACCCUGCAAUACCAACCAGCUUUGACAAUGGGGAGAAGGGACUACUCCACAUCUAUAAAUAUUUAGGAUUAUUCAUCAAUUCUUUUCAUUUUGCAGGUCCUUUUCUUCUGCGUUCUCAUAGCUUAAUGCCUCCACUGGACUGCUUCCGAAGGAGCAGUCUUUCUGCAGGUGCAGUGUUGUAACAGCUGUGAAACAUUAGUCACCGUUUUAUCAGUGUUAAAACGUUCAAGACAAUGCUUCUAAGAGCACUAUCACUCAACAUACUAUCUAGUAAUUCUAUUGCAACAAGUCAGAAGAUUGAAUAAAACCUUCCAUUCAUGUUGCUCAUCUUGUUCUGUACCCGUGACUGGAGAUCAGCAAGUCUGAGUAAACCCCUUCCAGCUGUAAGCUCUGUGUGUUUAUACUGCAACAGUUCAGUAAAUCCAUUCAGCUUCCAGUAAGAAAUGUCUUUGUUUAUGGCUCUUUUACGAUAC
rnacentral:lncRNA from 1 species